ACGCUCGACACCUACGAGGCAGCAGUGAGGAAUAUUGGUCAAUGGGCGCUAGCCUGAACCAGCCAAGUAGCGUGAAGGAUGAAGGCUCUAUGGGUCGUAAACUUCUUUUAUAUAAGAAUAAAGUGCAGUAUGUAUACUGUUUUGUAUGUAUUAUAUGAAUAAGGAUCGGCUAACUCCGUGCCAGCAGCUGCGGUAUCUGGAGGCGGGCUGGCAAGGC
rnacentral:rRNA from 1 species